rnacentral:rRNA from 1 species
CCUACGGGAGGCAGCAGUGAGGAAUAUUGGUCAAUGGGCGAGAGCCUGAACCAGCCAAGUCGCGUGAGGGAGUACUGCCCUAUGGGUUGUAAACCUCUUUUGUCGGGGAGCAAAAGCCGGACGUGUCCGGCUGUGAGAGUACCCGAAGAAAAAGCAUCGGCUAACUCCGUGCCAGCAGCCGCGGUAAUACGGAGGAUGCGAGCGUUAUCCGGAUUUAUUGGGUUUAAAGGGUGCGUAGGCGGAAUGCCAAGUCAGCGGUAAAAUCGCGGGGCUCAACCUCGCUCCGCCGUUGAAACUGGCGUUCUUGAGUGGGCGAGAAGUAUGCGGAAUGCGUGGUGUAGCGGUGAAAUGCAUAGAUAUCACGCAGAACUCCGAUUGCGAAGGCAGCAUACCGGCGCCCAACUGACGCUGAAGCACGAAAGCGUGGGUAUCGAACAGGAUUAGAUACCCUUGUAGUC